GUUGCUACUUGGACUUUUGGCUCAGCUCAAAGUGCAGCACCUGUUCUUAUCAGCUUAAUAUUUGAUAUGGUCCCUAUUUGGGGGCCAUUGAUAUUAAACUGACUUUAGAUUGAAGCAAAGUGUUAGGGGCUUGCUCUGCCUUUACCAUAGGCUGACCUGGUUUUGCGGUAUUUCCAGGAUUCAGCCCAUCUAAA